rnacentral:lncRNA from 10 species
CCUAGAUGGAAGAGCCUACUGCACACCUAGGCUGAAUGGGACCAGCCUGGCCAACAUGUUGAAACCUCAACUCUACUAAAAAUACAAAAAUUAGCCAGGCUUGGUGGCAUGUGCCUGUAAUCUCAGCUACUUGGGAGGCUGAGGCAGGAGAAUCACUUGAACCUGGGUGGUGGAGGUUGCAGUGAGCCGAGAUCACCCCACUGCACUCCAGCCUGGGCGACAGAGCAAGACUGACUCAAUUUAAAAAAAAAAAGAUAAAAAUGGUGCAUCUCUAUAGGGCGUUUACCAUGCCUGGAGCUUGUGGGACUGGAAGUUGCUCUGAUACGCAGCCUGGUCUACAGGAAGAAUUCUAUGUAUAUUUGCUGAAGAGACAAAGAAGGAUGUGGAUGAAUUGGAUGUGGAGAAUGAGAGGAAAGAAAAUGUCAAGGAUGGCUCUAAUUUCUGGCUUAUGCAACUGAGUGGUGCCAUUGAGAGAGACUCUCUCUCUUGCCUUCUUGGUUGGCACACUGGGGAGAAGCGAGCUGCAGCGUUGGAGAGGCCCAUGUGGCAAGGGACUGAGAGCAGCCUCUGGCCAACAGCCGGUAAGCAACCAGUGAGCAACCGAGGCCCUCAGUCCCACAGCAUGUGAGGAACUGAGUCCUGCCAAUGAUCAUGUGAUACUGAAGGAGGGUCUUUCUUUAGCUGAUCCUACAGAUGAGAAUCUAGCCCUUGUGCUGCCUCAUGAGAGACCCUGGAGCAGAGGCCCCAGCUGAGCUAUGCCUGGAUUCCUACCCACAGAAACUGGAAGACAAUAAAAGUGUCGUUUAUGUUUUUUUAUUCUGGUAAAAAUCAUAUAACAUGAAAUUUUUCCAUUCUAACCAUUAAAAACAUGUCUUUUUGUGUGUGUGAGACAGGGUUUCGUUCUGUCACCCAGGCUAGAGUGCAGUGGUGCAAUCUCGACUCACUGCAACCUCUGCCUUUCAGGCUCUAGUGAUCUUCCCACCUGGUCAGCCUCCCAAGUAGCUGGGACUACAGGUGCGCACCACCAUGCCCAGCUAGUUUUUGUUUGUAUUUGUAGUAGAUAUGGGGUUUUGCCAUUUUGCCUAGGCUGGUCUCGAACUCCUGGGCUCAAGCGAUCCACCCUCAA